UCUUUCUUAACCUAAUUAAUAUCGAUACCGUUUCACAAUCAUCUCUUCAACUUCAUAUGGAAACCACAAUCAAUCAUCAAUCAGUUGAUUCUACAAAACGCGAAUUGGCUUCACCGUUUCCUUUCUUGAUUAUAAAACCCUAGAUGUAAAUCCAGAAUCUUCAUUCACGGAUAUAACAAGGAGGCUAUACUCUCCGACGUUCAUAUUGUGGAAGAUCUUCUUCAAUCGAUUUUCGUCUUUGGCGAACACGCUGUAGCCGCAUCUUCUCAAUGACAGAGACAACCGUUGAGGAUUCACAUGUAAUGCGAUCCAGGGGUAUGACACACAUUGCCAGGUGGAGCCUGAAUCAUGUAAGCUGGUUGUUGAUCUGGUAAAAUUUGAGGAGCUGUCAUUUUUGGGACAUAAGCAGUGAGAUUAUUAUUAGUUGGUUUCAUUUUCUGGCUCCGGUUCCAAGAUCUGAACCAUUUCUUUCCCAAACCCGACAAUGGAUAUGAAACAAGAUAGCGAGUACCGCAAUUAGAGACAUCAUCUGGCCAACUGCCCUGCUUACUGUUUUACGAGCAAAGGAAUACAAUGCAAAAGCCUGAAUGGACGCACAUCUUGCUUAUCUUGGCUGCACGCUUAAGUAGAGGAUAUUAUGCAGUGGUGGGUUAGGGUUAACCUGUUAAUGUGAGUAACUUCUUCUGUUGGCAACAAGGUGAAUUGGAUUAUACAUCUAGAUGAUUUUGAAGCUAAUGUUUGUUUUGAUCUGAAAGAUGUUCCAGUGGUCUACGGUUCAAAAUGGUUUUGAGUUUACCCCAAUUAAAUUAAUUGUAAAAAAACCAUUACUCAGGGUGCAAGAAUAGAUGUGAUUGGAUACGUUGUGCAUUGUUUCAACAUUGAGAUGACCAGUCAUGAGAUUUGGGAAAGAAGCCCAAAGAUGAACCUAAAACUAAAAGAUAUUGAGUGGUGAUGUGGAGGUCGCUGUGACGUUGUGGGAUCAAUAUGCUAAAGCGAUUGAUGCAUACUAUAAAGCUAAUAUAGGGGAAGUUCAUGUGGUGUUACAUAUUCAGUUUGGCACGUUCAAGAUCUACAAAGUGUCGGUAUCAAUUUCAGCAACUUCUAAACAAAAACAAAGAUUAUGUUGUUCCGGACAUCAAGAUAUGUUCACCUUAUUCCCGG
rnacentral:lncRNA from 1 species